CUUCGGGUUUUAGUGGCGAACGGGUGAGUAACACGUAAGCAACCUACCCUAAAGACGAGGAUAACCAUUGGAAACAGUGGCUAAGACUGGAUAGGAAGAUAAAAGGCAUCUUUUAUCUUUUAAAAGACCUAGUAAUAGGUAUGCUUUAGGAGGGGCUUGCGCCAUAUUAGUUAGUUGGUAGGGUAAUGGCCUACCAAGACGAUGAUGUGUAGCUGGACUGAGAGGUUGAACAGCCACAUUGGGACUGAGACACGGCCCAAACUCCUACGGGAGGCAGCAGUAGGGAAUUUUCGGCAAUGGAGGAAACUCUGACCGAGCAACGCCGCGUGAAUGACGAAGUACUUCGGUAUGUAAAGUUCUUUUAUCAAGGAAGAAAAGCAAAUGGCGAACUAUUUGUUUGCCGGUACUUGAUGAAUAAGCCCCGGCUAAUUAUGUGCCAGCAGCCGCGGUAAGACAUAAGGGGCAAGUGUUAUCCGGAAUUAUUGGGCGUAAAGGGUGCGUAGGCGGUCUAGUAAGUCAGUGGUGUAAUGGCAACGCUUAACGUUGUCCGGCUAUUGAAACUGCUAAACUUGAGUUAGAUAGAGGCGAGUGGAAUUCCAUGUGUAGCGGUAAAAUGCGUAAAUAUAUGGAGGAACACCAGAGGCGUAGGCGGCUCGCUGGGUCUUAACUGACGCUGAGGCACGAAAGCGUGGGGAGCAAACAGGAUUAGAUACCCUGGUAGUCCACGCCGUAAACGAUGAGUACUAAGUGUCGGGUUAAACCGGUACUGAAGUUAACACAUUAAGUACUCCGCCUGAGUAGUACGUACGCAAGUAUGAAACUUAAAGGAAUUGACGGGACUCCGCACAAGCGGUGGAUCAUGUUGUUUAAUUCGAAGAUACCCGAAAAACCUUACCAGGUCUUGACAUGUUUUUGCAAAAUGAUAGUAAUAUCGUGGAGGUUACCAGAAACACAGGUGGUGCAUGGUUGUCGUCAGCUCGUGUCGUGAGAUGUUAGGUUAAGUCCUAAAACGAGCGAAACCCUUAUCGUUAGUUGCCAGCACGUUAUGGUGGGGACUUUAACGAGACUGCCAAUGAUAAAUUGGAGGAAGGUGAGGAUCACGUCAAAUCAGCAUGCCCCUUAUGACCUGGGCUACAAACGUGAUACAAUGGCUGUUACAAAGGGUAGCUGAAACGCAAGUUCUUGGCCAAUCCCCAAAAACAGUCCCAGUCCGGAUUGAAGUCUGCAACUCGACUUCAUGAAGUUGGAAUCGCUAGUAAUCGCGAAUCAGCAUGUCGCGGUGAAUACGUUCUCGGGGUUUGUACACACCGCCCGUCAAACCACGAAAGUUGGCAAUACCCCAAAACGGUAGCCUAACUCGUUUAUUCGAGAGGGCGCCGUCUAAGGUAGGGUCGAUGAUUGGGGUUAAGUCGUAACAAGGUAUCCCUACCGGAAGGUGGGGAUGGAUCACCUCCUUUCU
rnacentral:rRNA from 2 species